GGUCGCUUAGCUCAGUUGGUUAGAGCGUGGUGCUAAUAACGCCAAGGUCGCGAGUUCGACCCUCGUAGUGACCAA